rnacentral:lncRNA from 1 species
GUUAUUCUUCAAGGCUGUGGUUGGUUCGGGUAUAAGUAAGAACUGCUAGUUCCAGGGAUAGGUACAAGUUCAGGUAUAAGCAGGAACUAGACCAAUUUUGCGUUUGGAUGAAAAUGGGCUUGUUUCUAGGAAUAAGGUAAUAGUGUUUGGAUGGUUAGAUUGGAACAAGAGGAAUAAGAGUUAUAAUUUGAAAUUAAAAUUAUAUUAUGUAAUUAAUUAACAUCAAAAUAUUAUUUAAAAAUAAAUAAUAAAUUAAUUAUUAAUAAUUAAUUAUAAAUAAUAAUUAUUAUUAGUAAUUAAUUAUAAAUAAUAAUGUCACGCCCCGGAUUACACGUUCCACGGACACACCGACAAAUCCGCCGUAUACAAAGGAAUUUCCCCUGUAUACGAAGCGACAGCUGUACCUGUAAAACAUACAAUACUACAAACAGUAGUAUAGAGCUGCUAGAAGAACUAGUAAAGUAAAAGAAACCGAGUUCCAUAUACAUACACUGAAUCCCAGAGUACAAAGCUACUCGCGCUGGCGAGUUAAAAGUCUGUAUGUACAUGAACCCAAACCAAAACAUCUACCUGCAGUAGGGGUGCAUCUAGCUCUGCUCCUCGGGUAGGGCUCUAACUCGUGACGCCCUUGCCUAGCUCCUGACCAGCAACAGCAGCAGCCAAAGACGAAGGCUCUGCAAAAACGGGAUAACAACUGGACGUGAGAACUACUGUAGAAAUAAGUAGUCCUCAGUAGGUGCCGCCCUCAACAAUCAUCGGUCCACCCAUUAAGUCUACAGAAGGUAACAAGGCUAGCAGGAAAAGCUGGAAAGAAAUCUACAGCUACAUAUCGCUACACUAGCAUGAUCUACACUAACCAACUGUAGUAAAAGUCACAACUGACUCAAUCUCACUAGGGACUGUGAACACACCCGUCCCGCCUGUCGGAUCGAACCCGUAUCCUACUCCAGGAAUAGCUGGUGGAGAAAACUCUCUAGGGACUGUGAAUACACCCGUCCCGCCUAAUUAGGUGACACCGUAGCUCAAGAGUAACUGGCGGAGAAAACUCUCUGGAGACUGUGAAUACACCCGUCCCGUCUACUAGAAUACGUCGUAUUUCAAGAGUAAUCGGCGGAGAAAACUCUCUAAAGACUGUGAAUACACCUGUCUCACCUAAUUAGACUACACCAUACCUCGAGAGUAGUCGGUCCCAGAAAAAGGUCCAACAGGAUGGUUAAGACUCCACUCACGUCACAACCUCACUAAAGGUAGGGAAAAACGUCACUCACUAUCUCACCCGGGCUGCCCAAAACGGACCCACCCUACCUGUAUCUAGCUGCGCCGUACACCACCCCGAGGGUAGCCGGCUCAAGAACUGUCCAACAGAAACUGCGACACUUAUCGCACUGAAACCUCAUUCCCGAAUAGCAUUCACGAGCGCGACCCAACGAGUUUACAAGUAUCUCUGUCAAGUUCAUACCGCUCUCACAGGCUAAGUCAAGUAACCGACCUUAACUGGUCUAACAACGAACAGGUAAAGUGCCCUCGACACAAUCUAACGCUAAAAAGGCGAUACGAGUCCACCGUCAACUCCGACGGCACCCAACAGUCCGGAACAGCCUGAACUCUACUAUAAAAAUACACUCGGCAUCCCAGCACGAGCGUAACUAAAAAUUAAACUACCUGAAAUAUUCACUAUGAGGAUACUGCAACAGUAUAAAAUAAUACAACGGCCCCUAGGCUAAAUCAGGUAGUUUAACAUAUGCCAGGUCCCGAAAGCCGGUUUUCUCCUGUGUCAAAUCCAGGUCCAACAUGUAUAAUUUAUUUAUAAAAAUAGGCUCCAAUUUCAGUUUAGAUGAAAACAACAUUUACAAAUAUGAAACUGAGCUAAAACAAUAGUAAUGUGUAAUACUAACAAUACAUGUUGACCAACAAGACUAUACGAGUAGGAAUCCGAUGAUAAACCCACCUCGAAAGGUAAAUCCAAUCCGGCGCGACGUCGAGAACGGCGGAAACGCACCCUCGUCCAGCCUCCUCGUGAUGCUACGACUGCAACCGUAUCCUCGAACGGCUUUGCGGCGCGACGUCAAUGUCGAAUCCGAGCUCCUCGGCUACCUCUACCCGUGCUCUCCACCAUGCACGUAAUUAACUAGAGAGAACAAAAAAAAAUGCACACUCUCUGUUAAUUUGAAGAGAUAAACAUGAAAAGGGUGGUGGCAUCCUUAUCCAAAAAAAUGACCACUAUGCCCCUAGACCAACUCAAAAUGAAGGGUAUUACAUCCUCCCCCACUAUAAAAAGUUUCGUCCUCGAAACUUAAAACAUAUCUCAAACCUGAGUCUCGAACAAGUAGGGAUAGGACUCCCGCAUCACCAUCUUCGGCUCCCAGGUUGCCUUCCGUUCCUCAUGAUUGCUCCACUACACUUUCACAUACGGGAUGUCCCGGUUGCGCAAUUCUUUCGUCUCCCGAGCAAGAAUCCGCAACGGUCGCUCCUCGUAUCUCAGAUCCUCGCCAAUCUCUAGUGGAGUGAAAUCGAUCACGUGAGAAGGAUCGAAAAUAUAUCUCCUCAAUGCUGAGACGUUGAAGACAUCGUGAAUGCCAGCUAGUCACGGGGGUAGAGCGAUCCUGUAAGCAACUGGUCCAACUCGCUCCAAUACCUCAAAAGGGCCAACAAAGCGUGGACUGAGCUUUCCACGCACUCCAAAUCGGCAAAUCCCUCUGGACGGCGAGACUUUAAGAAAUACAUGAUCUCCAACCUGGAACUCUAAGUCUCGUCUCCUGGUAUCGGCGUAGCUCCUCUGGCGGCACUGGGCUGUCAAAAGGUGUCGUCGAACAACUCUCACCUUUUCCUCAGCCUCUAGCAAAAUCUCAGGCCCAAGUGUCUUCCUCUUACCCACAUCACUCUAAAACAACGGGGAUCGACAUCUGCGUCCAUACAACGCCUCAAACGGAGCUAUCUGGAUGCUCGUUUGAUAGCUGUUGUUGUACGCAAACUCAACCAGUCUCAAAUGUCGAUACCACCCUCCUCCAAAAUCCAGGACACAUGCCCUCAGCAUGUUCUCUAGAGUCUGAAUGGCCCUCUCUGACUGACCAUCUGUCUGUGGGUGGAACGCUGUGCUAAAAUGCAACUGAGUGCCCAAGGCUGUCUGUAGACUCCUCCAAAACUGAGAUACAAACCUCGGGUCUCUGUCUGAUACAAUCGACACUGGCACGCCGUGCAGCCUGACGAUCUCAUCCAGGUAUAGAUGCGCGAGUCUCUCUCUGGACCAGAUGGUCUGAACCGAUAAGAAGUGAGCAGACUUGGUCAGUCUGUCCACUAUCACCCAAAUCGCAUCAAAGCCACCCUGCGCUCUAGGCAAUCUCACGACAAAGUCCACCGUAAUCUUCUCCCACUUUCACUCGACACUGGCAGACUCUGAAGCUUGCCAGCAGGUACCUGAUGCUCGGCCUUCACCUAUUGGCAAGUCAAAUACUGAGCCACAUACCGGCCAAUGCCUCUCUUCAUUCCAUUCCACCAAAACUGUGCCUUCAAGUCCUUAUACAUCUUGGUUUCACUUGGGUGAACCGUAUAAGGAGAACAAUGAGUCUCUCUCAAGAUGUCCUCUUGGAUCCCUAAAUCCACCGGCACACACAGUCGGUCCCUAUACCGCAGUACUCCCGAACUGUCAACAGAAAAACCCUCAGCCUGUCCCCUAUGUAGCUGCUCUCGAAUCCUCGUCAAGUACGGAUCUCCACUCUGUUUCUCUCGGAUCCUAUCCAACAGAGUGGGCUGCAAGACCAGAGACAUUAGUCUCGCAGUAGACCCAGGGGAUAUUAUCUCAAGCCUCAGCCGCUGGAGCUCCUCAAGUAACGGUCUCUGCUCAGUGAUCAUCACACUCAGGCUCUGCACUGACUUCCUGCUCAACGCAUCUGCCACUACAUUCGCCUUACCGGGAUGAUACUGAAUACUAAUGUCAUAGUCCUUCAGUAACUCCAACCACCGGUGCUGCCUCAGGUUCAGCUCCCUCUGUGUGAACAGAUACUUGAGACUUUUAUGAUCCGUAAAAAUCUCGCAGUGCUCGCCGUACAAGUAAUGUCGCCACAACUUCAAAGCAAAGACUACCGCGGCAAGCUCCAAGUCAUGCGUAGGGUAAUUCUUCUCAUAAUCCUUUAACUGCCGUGAUGCAUAAACAAUUACCCUACCAUGCUGCAUCAACACACAACCCAGUCCACUGUGCGAUGCAUCAUUGUAGAUCACAAAUCCUUCCCCCAUCACAGGAAGGGCAAGGAUAGGAGCUGACGUCAACCUUUGUCGCAACUCAUCAAAGCUCCUCUGACAAUCCUCACUCUAGAUGAAUCUAAUCCCCUUUCGCGUCAAUCGAGUGAGGGGUGUGGAAAGCUUCGCAAAGCCUUCCACAAACCGACGGUAAUAUUCUGCUAAUCCAAGGAAACUCCUCACCUCUGUCACCGUCACCGAUCUGGGCCAACCCCGAAUAACAUCAAUCUUCUUCGGGUCCACUGCUACUCCCUCUGCUGAUAUCACAUGGCCCAAGAAAGCAACCUCUCGUAACCAGAACUCGAACUUCUUCAACUUGGCAUACAACUUCUUCUCUCGCAGAAGUUGUAGCACAAUUCUCAAGUGCUCCUCAUGCUCAGCAUCACUCCGGGAGUAAAUCAGGAUAUCGUCGGUAAAGACUACCACAAAUCUAUCCAAGAACGACUUAAACACUCUGUUCAUCAAAUCCAUGAAUGCUGCAGGGGCAUUCGUCAAUCCAAAAGGCAUCACCGUUAACUCAUAAUGCCCGUACCGAGUCCGAAAAGCCGUCUUGGGAACAUCCUCGGCCCUUACCCUCAAUUGGUGGUAACCUGACUGGAGAUCAAUCUUCGAAAAGACAUAAGAUCCCUGCAGCUGAUUAAACAGAUCAUCAAUGCGCGGCAAGGGAUACUUAUUCUUGAUGGUCACUUUAUUCAGCUCCCGGUAGUCCACACACAGCCUAAGUAAACCAUCAUUCUUCUUCACAAACAACACCGGCGCUCCCCAAGGCGAAACAUUGGGUCUCACAAACCCUCUAUCCAUCAAAUCCUGAAGCUGUGCCUUUAGCUCUCUCAGCUCUGCUGGCGCAAUCCGAUAAGGUACCUUUGAGAUUGGUGCAGUUCCAGGAACUACAUCAAUCACAAACUCAAUCUCCCUCUCCGGCGGCAACGUCGUCAACUCAGGAGGAAACACAUCUAGAAACUCAUGGACUAUAGGGAUAUCCUCGAGUCCCGGCGCCGCCGUAGGUACCUCCACAACUGCCGCUAAGAAAGCGAUACACCCACUACUCAGCAUCUGUCGAGCUCUCGCCGAAGAUAUCCAGGUGGCAAACAACGUACUACUACAGCCUCUGAAAGUGAACUCCUUCUGGCUUGGCUCGCGGAAUGUCACCGUCCUCGCUCCACAAUCGAUCGUAGCAUAGUACCGCGUCAACCAAUCCAUACCGAGCACGAUGUCAAAGCCCUGCAGCUGCCCUAACACCAACAGGUCUGCGGCAUAAACCACGAAUCUAACUGCACCGGACACGACCAACAACACUCCGCAGUCUGUAACACAUGGUCGGGGAUCUGCACCUCUCGUGUCAAAGACAACGACCCUAACUCUAGACCAUAUAACAGUGCAAAUACUUGGCUAACAAAAGAAUGCGAGGCACCGGUAUCAACUAAAGUACGACUACAUAUGCCAAAAAUCAAAAUGAUACCUGCCACCAUACGGUCGGCUGCUGAAGAGUCCUCCCGAUGGUAACUCGGUAGUACUCCAAAAGUCUGCUGGUCAGCUGGCUGCGCUGAUGCAAUGGAUAGUGCUGGAAAUGUCGCUCUAGGACACGCUGACCUCACAUGUCCUGGCUGUCCACAAGUGUAGCAGCGACCCUCUUUCUGCUCACAUUGUCGGGGCCAGUGUGGUCCUCCAUAAAUCACGCACCGCAGCGUCCUCGGUGACGGUCCCUGCUGAAGCAAUCCCCUGGAAAGCUGACGCCCCGAUGAACCACGACCCUAAGAGCAAGAUCGAGAAAGCCUCAGCGGACGUCUGCUACUCGCCUGUCCUCCAUCAUCUGGAAAAGGGCGCUUCCUGUCUUGGCUCUGCCCCGGUGCCAUAGUCCGCUCCUAGAUGGGUGUAACUCCGUGUCCCACCAAGAGUACCUGCUGCACAGAUGCUCCUGUCUCAACUCCUGACCACUGAGUGAUAAUCUCAUAAAUUCUCUGCAAUAGUACACUCUGCUGCUUGAUCACUGUCAGGGCAGCCAACUGCUCUCUCAAAUCAGGGGGUACACUUGCCUCCGGUCGUGCACUCGGCUCUGCCUGGUCGGGCAUCUCUAGCGGUGCGACUUGAUCCCUGGUCGACGGUCAACCUCGGCAGCAAUCAGAACGAAACAAAACGGGGUCAAAUACAACUCAAACACUCUCGACCCAAUCAAUGAAAGUCUAGAAAGCAACCCCUGUUUUCCUCUAAAAUUAUGUCGUCUGCAGUCAACAUAAUUUCUCAGGCCAAAACAGGUACUCCUUCAAUCACUCACCCCACUCUCGGAGGAGUUAGAACAACUAAUCAUUGACUUUCGCAAUUAGAUUACGCCUCUCACUUCUUGCUUUCCUAAGGUUUGCCAAACUUAGGUUCUCUAGGUCCCAACGACCGAAUGCUAAACUCUGAUACCAACUUAAUCUGUCACGCCCCGGAUUACAGUUCCCCGGACACGCCGACAAAUCCGCCGUAUACAAAGGAAUUUUCCCUGUAUACGAAGCGACAGUUGUACCUGUAAAACAUACAAUACUACAAACAGUAAUAUAGAGCUGCUAGAAGAACUAGUAAAGUAAAAGAAACCGAGUUCCAUAUACAUACACUGAAUCCCAGAGUACAAAGCUACUCGCGCUGGCGAGUUAAAAGUCUGUAUGUACAUGAACCCAAACCAAAACAUCUACCUGCAGUAGGGGUGCAUCUAGCUCUGCUCCUCGGGUAGGGCUCUAACUCGUGAUGCCCUUGCCUAGCUCCUGACCAGCAACAGCAGCAGCCGAAGACGAAGGCUCUGCAAAAACGGGAUAACAACUGGACGUGAGAACUACUGUAGAAACAAGUAGUCCUCAGUGGGUGCCGCCCUCAACAAUCAUCGGUCCAGCCACUAAGUCUACAGAAGGUAACAAGGCUAACAGGAAAAGCUGGAAAGAAAUCUACAGCUACAUAUCGCUACACUAGCAUGAUCUACACUAAACAACUGUAGUAAAAGUCAAAACUGACUCAAUUUCACUAGGAACUGUGAACACACCCGUCCCGCCUGCCGGAUCGAACCCGUAUCCUACUCCAGGAAUAGCUGGUGGAGAAAACUCUCUAGGGACUGUGAAUACACCCGUCCCGCCUAAUUAGGUGACACCGUAGCUCAAGAAUAACCGGCGGAGAAAACUCUCUGGAGACUGUGAAUACACCCGUCUCGUCUACUAGAAUACGCCGUAUCUCAAGAGUAAUCGGCGGAGAAAACUCUCUAAAGACUGUGAAUACACCCGUCUCACCUAAUUAGACUACACCAUACCUCGAGAGUAGUCGGUCCCAGAAAAAGGUCCAACAUGAUGGUUAAGACUCCACUCACGUCACAACCUCACUAAAGGUAGAGAAAAACGUCACUCACUAUCUCACCCGGGCUACCCAAAACGGACCCACCCUGCCUGUAUCUAGCUGCGCCGUACACCACCCCGAGGGUAACCGGCUCAAGAACUGUCGAACAGAAACUGCGACACUCAUCGCACUGAAACCUCAUUCCGGAAUGGCAUUCGCGGGCGCGACCCAACGAGUUUAUAAGUAUCUCUGUCAAGUUCAUACCGCUCUCACAGGCUAAGUCAAGUAACCGACUCUAACUGGUCUAACAACCAACAGGUAAAGUGCCCUCGGCACAAUCUAACGCCAAAAAGGCGAUACGAGUCUACCGUCAACUCCGACGGCACCCAACAGUCCGAAAUAGCCUGAACGCUACUAUAAAAAUACACUCGGCAUCCCAGCACGAGCGUAACUAAAAAUUAAACUACCUGGAAUACUCACUAUGAGGAUACUGCAACAGUAUAAAAUAAUACAACGGUCCCUAGGCUAAAUCAGGUAGUUUAACAUAUGCCAGGUCCCGAACACGGGUUUUCUCCUAUGUCAAAUUCAGAUCCAAUAUGUAUAAUUUAUUUAUAAAAAUAGGCUCCAAUUUCAGUUUAGAUGAAAACAACAUUUACAAAUAUGAAACUGAGCUAAAACAAUAGUAAUGUGUAAUACUAACUAUACAUGUCGACAAACAAGACUAUAUGAGUAGGAAUCCGAUGAUAAACUCACCUCGAAAGCUAAAUCCAAUCUGGCGCGACGUCGAGAAUGGCGGAAACGCACCCUCGUCCAGCCUCCUCAUGAUGCUACGACUGCAACCGUAUCCUCGAACGGCUUUGCGGCGCGACGUCGAUGUCGAAUCCGAGCUCCUCGGCUACCUCUAUCCGUGCUCUCCACCAUGCACGUAAUUAACUAGAGAGAACAAAAAAAAAUGCACACUCU